rnacentral:rRNA from 1 species
CUACGCCGCCGUGAAUACGUUCCCGGGCCUUGUACACACCGCCCGUCAAGCGAUGGAAGCCGGGGGACCCGAAGUCCCGUUAAGGGCCGAAGGUAAAAACCGGUGACUGGCGCU